rnacentral:rRNA from 1 species
GAUGAACGCUGGCGGCGUGCCUAAUACAUGCAAGUCGAGCGAACGGACGAGAAGCUUGCUUCUCUGAUGUUAGCGGCGGACGGGUGAGUAACACGUGGAUAACCUACCUAUAAGACUGGGAUAACUUCGGGAAACCGGAGCUAAUACCGGAUAAUAUUUUGAACCGCAUGGUUCAAAAGUGAAAGACGGUCUUGCUGUCACUUAUAGAUGGAUCCGCGCUGCAUUAGCUAGUUGGUAAGGUAACGGCUUACCAAGGCAACGAUGCAUAGCCGACCUGAGAGGGUGAUCGACCACACUGGAACUGAGACACGGUCCAGACUCCUCAGGGAGGCAGCAGUAGGGAAUCGUCCGCCAUGGGCGAAAGCGUGACGGAGCAACGCCGCGUGAGUGAUGAAGGUCUUCGGAUCGUAAAACUCUGUUAUUAGGGAAGAACAUAUGUGUAAGUAACUGUGCACAUCUUGACGGUACAUAAUCAGAAAGACACGGCUAACUACGUG